AUUGAACGCUGGCGGCAGGCUUAACACAUGCAAGUCGAGCGGGGUGAUGGUGCUUGCACUAUCACUUAGCGGCGGACGGGUGGGUAAUGCUUAGGAAUCUGCCUAUUAGUGGGGGACAACAUCUCGAAAGGGAUGCUAAUACCGCAUACGUCCUACGGGAGAAAGCAGGGGAUCACUUGUGACCUUGCGCUAAUAGAUGAGCCUAAGUCGGAUUAGCUAGUUGGUGGGGUAAAGGCCUACCAAGGCGACGAUCUGUAGCGGGUCUGAGAGGAUGAUCCGCCAGACUGGGACUGGGACACGGCCCAGACUCCUACGGGAGGCAGCAGUGGGGAAUAUUGGACAAUGGGGGGAACCCUGAUCCAGCCAUGCCGCGUGUGUGAAGAAGGCCUUAUGGUUGUAAAGCACUUUAAGCGAGGAGGAGGCUCUUUUGGUUAAUACCCAAGAUGAGUGGACGUUACUCGCAGAAUAAGCACCGGCUAACUCUGUGCCAGCAGCCGCGGUAA
rnacentral:rRNA from 1 species